ACACUAGAUGCUUUUCAAGACAUUAGAAAGACACUCCUCAAUCAAAGCAUGCCUCUCUCUACUGCUUUUCCAUCUCCCCAUCUUUUGCUCCUAGCUUGCAAGCAACUUGCAUCUCAUGGCUACUUCACACUUGAAUGAUUGGUUCAACAAUAAAUUAAUCUUCCCAACACAUUAGAUUUUGGGUUUUCUUUUCUUGAUAUUGCUUUGGCACUGUAAGAUCAGUUUGGCAACAAACCGAUCUUCCCAGUGUCAAGGGAACCAAAAAAAAGAAAAAAAGAA
rnacentral:lncRNA from 1 species